GAUGAACGCUAGCUACAGGCUUAACACAUGCAAGUCGAGGGGCAGCAUGGUCUUAGCUUGCUAAGGCCGAUGGCGACCGGCGCACGGGUGAGUAACACGUAUCCAACCUGCCGUCUACUCUUGGACAGCCUUCUGAAAGGAAGAUUAAUACAAGAUGGCAUCAUGAGUCCACAUGUUCACAUGAUUAAAGGUAUUCCGGUAGACGAUGGGGAUGCGUUCCAUUAGAUAGUAGGCGGGGUAACGGCCCACCUAGUCUUCGAUGGAUAGGGGUUCUGAGAGGAAGGUCCCCCACAUUGGAACUGAGACACGGUCCAAACUCCUACGGGAGGCAGCAGUGAGGAAUAUUGGUCAAUGGGCGAGAGCCUGAACCAGCCAAGUAGCGUGAAGGAUGACUGCCCUAUGGGUUGUAAACUUCUUUUAUAAAGGAAUAAAGUCGGGUAUGCAUACCCGUUUGCAUGUACUUUAUGAAUAAGGAUCGGCUAACUCCGUGCCAGCAGCCGCGGUAAUACGGAGGAUCCGAGCGUUAUCCGGAUUUAUUGGGUUUAAAGGGAGCGUAGAUGGAUGUUUAAGUCAGUUGUGAAAGUUUGCGGCUCAACCGUAAAAUUGCAGUUGAUACUGGAUAUCUUGAGUGCAGUUGAGGCAGGCGGAAUUCGUGGUGUAGCGGUGAAAUGCUUAGAUAUCACGAAGAACUCCGAUUGCGAAGGCAGCCUGCUAAGCUGCAACUGACAUUGAGGCUCGAAAGUGUGGGUAUCAAACAGGAUUAGAUACCCUGGUAGUCCACACGGUAAACGAUGAAUACUCGCUGUUUGCGAUAUACAGCAAGCGGCCAAGCGAAAGCGUUAGGUAUUCCACCUGGGGAGUACGCCGGCAACGGUGAAACUCAAAGGAAUUGACGGGGGCCCGCACAAGCGGAGGAACAUGUGGUUUAAUUCGAUGAUACGCGAGGAACCUUACCCGGGCUUAAAUUGCAGAUGAAUUACGGUGAAAGCCGUAAGCCGCAAGGCAUCUGUGAAGGUGCUGCAUGGUUGUCGUCAGCUCGUGCCGUGAGGUGUCGGCUUAAGUGCCAUAACGAGCGCAACCCUUGUUGUCAGUUACUAACAGGUUCUGCUGAGGACUCUGACAAGACUGCCAUCGUAAGAUGUGAGGAAGGUGGGGAUGACGUCAAAUCAGCACGGCCCUUACGUCCGGGGCUACACACGUGUUACAAUGGGGGGUACAGAGGGCCGCUACCACGCGAGUGGAUGCCAAUCCCAAAAACCUCUCUCAGUUCGGACUGGAGUCUGCAACCCGACUCCACGAAGCUGGAUUCGCUAGUAAUCGCGCAUCAGCCACGGCGCGGUGAAUACGUUCCCGGGCCUUGUACACACCGCCCGUCAAGCCAUGGGAGCCGGGGGUACCUGAAGUGCGUAACCGCGAGGAGCGCCCUAGGGUAAAACUGGUGACUGGGGCU
rnacentral:rRNA from 1 species